rnacentral:misc_RNA from 1 species
GAUGAAGAACGUAGCGAAAUGCGAUAAGUAAUGUGAAUUGCAGAAUUCAGUGAAUCAUCGAAUCUUUGAACGCACAUUGCGCCCGCCAGCACUCUGGCGGGCAUGCCUGUCCGAGCGUCAUUUCAACCCUCAGGACCCCUUCGGGGGACCUGGCGUUGGGGAUCGGCCCGCCCCCGCGCGGGCCGGCCCCGAAUUAUAGUGGCGGUCUCGCUGUAGCCUCCUCUGCGUAGUAGCAAUAUCUCGCAGGCGGAGAGCGGCUUGACCACGCCGUUAAACCCCCAAUUUAUCAAGGUUGACCUCGGAUCAGGUAGGAAUACCCGCUGAACUUAAGCAUAUCAAUAAGCGGAGGA